CGUACCUCAAAGUAUUGUAACGACCUGAACGUUUUGGGGAAACGUGUAAAAGUCGUAAAGCAAAGUAAGCAAACGUUCGAUUGAACUGAACGCACCCUUGGCUACGUUCGCCGCGGGAAAUCUGUUAACGCAAGCUAACUAGCAACACACAUUAUUCAUAGAAUGUUAUAUUAUUGAAAUGAAAGAGCAGGGAGCAGGUUACACUACUCCCUCCUUUCAAAGAGCGCGUCCUCGCGCUAGCUUGCGACUCUACGUCUUACUACAGGAACGCGCUCACCGGUCAAGCACACGCACUGUCCGAUCACUUCUGAGACCAGUGUAAUGAAACAGCAGGGAGCAGGUCUCGAACCCUCGACCUUCGAGCCCGAGGUCCGGCGCGCUAUCGACUGUGCCGCAAAAGCAUGCUCGUGCGGCAAGCUCGUUACAUUAUCAUAGCUAGCUAGUGCAAUUGAAAUUUGCAAUCAUCUUUCGACAACAUUAUGUCAGGAAACGGACUGUCGACCAGAAUUCAGCAGUUUUUGGAUCCCCACGAGCGGCUAAUGGCAGGUACUCAGAGCCCUUUCCACCGCCUGGGCCAGCAGAUGCAGGACCUCUUGGGCGAUGGCGGGAUCAAGAAGGUCCAACCUGGAGAAGGCCCACCAGUGCCAAGAGAUGUUAUAAUGGUUUUAGAAUGACAGACACAGGGACCACAGUUUGAAAGCCUGUCUCAGUGGAGUUUUAGGCACAGUUAAUUGCCUAAAACUUUGCUAGCUGAAAUACACUCAGUGGCUGUUCAUUAGGUACACCACCCCGUUCACAAAAAUGGUUCGCCCCUACAGACUGUGUCACGUGGCCACGUGGCCGUGGCUUGCUAUAUAAAGCAGGCAGACAGGCAUCGAGGCAUUCUGUUACUCUUCGAUUGAACAUUAGAAUUGGAAGAAUUAGUGACCUAUGCAACUUUGAGUGUGGUGGGCAAAAACAGCUCAUUGAUGAGAGGUCGAAGGAGAAUGGCAAGAAUCGUGCAAGCUAAUAGGCGGGCCACAAACAGGCAAAUAACGGCGCAGUACAAGAAUGGUGUGAAGAACGGCAUUUUGGAACGCACAACUCGCCAGUCCUUGUCACGGAUGGGCUAUUGCAGCACCACACCGGGUUCUACUCCUCAUCUAAAAACAAGAAGCAGCUUCAGUUGGCAUGCGAUCACCAACAUUGGACAAUUUUGGAGUGGAAAAAAUGUACCUGGUCCGACGAAUCCCGGUUCCUGUUGCGUCCCGGUUCCAGCAUUACAGGCUUAUGUCAUGCUGAUGGCAGAGUCAGGAUUUGGCAUAAGCAGCAUGAGUCCAUGGCCCCGUCCUGCCUGGUUCAGCGAUACAGGCUGGUGGCGGUGGUGUAAUGGUGUGGGGAAUGUUUUCCUGGCACACGUUAGGUUUCCAUGCCCCAAAUAAUUUCAGACUGUUCUGGAGGCAAAGGGGGGUACAACUUAGUACUAGUUUGUUGUACCUAAUAAACUGGCCACCGAGUGUAUAUACUUAAGUAAUCAGACCUAUUCUUACUAUGAUGAACCAUUUCACUUUCUAUUCAGCUUGAAUUCUACAUUUUAACAAAUAUUUUUAGACAGGCAAGCACACAGAUUUUCUUCGGGAAAUGUACCUUUUCUAGUUUAGUCAUAUUUAUCUUACCUUAGAAGUUACUUUGCAGGCUGACUAGCAUCUAUUGAGUUUCAAUGUCCCAUAAAUGAAAUGUCCAAAUCAAUUUGAAGUAUCUACAAAACAAGUUUUGCAGCCACAUAAUCCCAAAGGAAGUCUAUGAAAAUUACUGUUUGUGUUUCACAAAAUAUUAUUUUGAUUCACAUGAUUUGAUUCACCAUGAUUUAAUCAAAUCCCAAAUACACUCAACGCAACAAGCAACAAUUUCAAAUAUUUUACUGAGUUACAGUUCAUAUAUGGAAGUCCGUCAAUUGAAAUAAAUUCAUUAGGCCCUAAUCUAUGGAUUUCACAUGACUGGGAAUACAGAUAUGCGUCUGUUGGUCACAGAUACCUUAAAAGGGUAGGGGCUUGGAUCAGAAAACCAGUCAGUAUCUGGUGUCAGCACGAUAUGCCUCAUGCAGCCCAACACAUUUCCUUCACAUAGAGGUGAUCAGGCUGUUGAUUGUGGCCUGUGGAAUGUUGUCCCACUCGUCUUCAAAUGGCCGUGUGAAGUUGAUGGAUAUUGGCUGGAACUGGAACGCGCUGUCGUACACGUUGAUCCAGAGCAUCCCAAACAUGCUCAAUGGGUGACAUGUCUGAGUAUGCAGGCCAUGGAAGAGCUGGGACAUUUUCAAUUUCCAGGAAUUGUGUACAGAACUUUGCGUGCAUUAUCAUGCUGAAACAUGAGGUGAUGGCAACAGAUGAGUGGCAUGACAAUGGGCCUCAGGAUCUCGUCAUGGUAUCUCUGUGUAUUCGAAUUGCCAUCGAUAAAAUGCAAUUGGUUUCGUUGUCCAUAGCUUAUGUCUGCCCAUACCAUAACCCCACCGCCACCAUGGGGCACUCUGUUCACAACGUUAACAUCAGCAAACCGCUUGCCCACAUGACGCCAUACACACUACACUGUCUGCCAUCUGUCUGGUACAGUUGAAACUGGGAUUAAUCUGUGAAGAGCACACUUCUCCAGCGUGCCAGUGGCUGUCAAAGGUGAACAUUUGCCCACAGAAGUCCAUUGCGCAUAAAGGCAUUUCCACCACCAUUUGAAAAAUUCUCACAUAAUUAAUUUGACCAACACGGGGAGCCCACCUUGUCUAGUGUAUUUUGUUUUGUCGACAUUUGGAACGUUUACGGACACAUUUUCUGUUUCCAUCAGGCCUGUUGUGACUUUUUUUUACCCGACAUGUACUUUACUCACAUAAAAAGGCCGGAUGGUAACCUUGUAUUUCUGUGCUAGCCACAGGAGGGCGCCGUAUGAACAGAUUCAAAGCAUUGAUUGAUGUUUGCCACAUACAUUGCUAACUAUCUGUAUCCAGUUCAGAUAGUUGCCCCUUUUCACUUUGUUUUAAUAAGAUAGGCAGUGCCAUCAGUGCCCAUCUAAGACAAUGCAAUCAUCUAGCAUAUUUGUAUAGUCAUGUUUUCAUGUGGAAUUGGAAGAUGCAAUAUUAUAUCCACAGGCAGCUCACAGAGAUAUUGCAGUCAUCUGUUCCCAAAUGGAUGACCAACCAAAACUUGAGUGUGAUUUGUCAGAACCUGUUUUUUUCCAGAGGUACAUAAAUAUUUGCCUAUGCAAGGAUCCAAACUCCAGACUCUCAUCUUCAAAUGGCAGCGCUCUCUCAAGAUCAAAGGCUUCUGAGUGUAAUUUGGGAAUCAUGUUGCCUACAUGCUCUGGGCGUUCUACAGAGCUUUAGGACACUCCAGUUUUGCUGAGGUGUCCUCCCUGUAUCACAAGGUGGGAUCUGCCCUAUUUGCCUGCCAGGAGAGAGUGAGAGAGAGAGGAGCAAUGUCUGAAGCUACAUUUUGGACUCACAUUCUGUUGCAGGUGAUGGUGUAAGGAGAACUUAAAGUCAACACCGAAGACUCACACAAGCCUUACUACAUUAUGUAAAUAUGUUCACUUUGAUUUCAAGAGUUUUUGUUCAUUAUGUACCAACAUUUACAAAGCUAUUCUGUACACUAAAUCCAACUGCAGUUGGGACACAGUGAAAUGUCUUAAUAAUAAAAAAUGUGUUUGUGUUCAUCUUGUUAAAAUA